UGCAAUCUACCUUUUACAGGGGAAUAGCCCAGAGAAAUUUGGAUUAAUGCCCCAUGGUAUUAUAGAAUGGCAUCAUUUUAUAAUUAAAGUCACAACGGUAAAAGAUGAGCAUGCGUCCCAUUAGCUAGUUGGUAAGGUAACGGCUUACCAAGGCUAUGAUGGGUAGGGGUCCUGAGAGGGAGAUCC
rnacentral:rRNA from 1 species